GAUGAACGCUGGCGGCGUGCCUAAUACAUGCAAGUCGAGCGAACGGACGAGAAGCUUGCUUCUCUGAUGUUAGCGGCGGACGGGUGAGUAACACGUGGAUAACCUACCUAUAAGACUGGGAUAACUUCGGGAAACCGUAGCUAAUACCGGAUAAUAUUUUGAACCGCAUGGUUCAAAAGUGAAAGACGGUCUUGCUGUCACUUAUAGAUGGAUCCGCGCUGCAUUAGCUAGUUGGUAAGGUAACGGCUUACCAAGGCAACGAUGCAUAGCCGACCUGAGAGGGUGAUCGGCCACACUGGAACUGAGACACGGUCCAGACUCCUACGGGAGGCAGCAGUAGGGAAUCUUCCGCAAGGGGCGAAAGCCUGACAGAGCAACGCCGCGUGAGUGAUGAAGGUCUUCGGAUCGUAAAACUCUGUUAUUAGGGAAGAACAUAUGUGUAAGUAACUGUGCACAUCUUGACGGUACCUAAUCAGAAAGCCACGGCUAACUACGUG
rnacentral:rRNA from 1 species